GUUUUGAGGAAGCUGCGAUGGCUGAAGCGCAGUUAUGUGAACCGUUUUCCCUCACCUCAGAAGCUAGUACCUCGUGCAGCUGUAUCCUUCCCCAUGUUGAGGACCCUUGGGAUUACCUCAGGGCAAAGAAGAAUAUAAAUUGAUCCACUGGUUUUCUGGGCUUGCUGAGGUGACUUAAUCAACAACCCUGUCUGGGCUGCGUGAAGAGAAAGUUUGUGGUAACUUUCUGUCGACGGUAGGAGGAGUCAUUUCUCCGUUACGGUGGUAAGUGGCUUCUCUCUGCAUUUACAUAAAAGAUAAUUUUGAUGAGCAGGCUAAUGAGAAGUUCUUGCACAUUGUUAAGCAUGAUAUGCUUUAGAAUGCAAAC
rnacentral:lncRNA from 1 species